UACAGAGGUCUCAAGCGUUGUUCGGAUUCAUUGGGCGUAAAGGGUGCGUAGGUGGCGUCGUAAGUCAGGUGUGAAAUUUCGGAGCUUAACUGUGGAACUGCUUGGUAUACUGCCAGUCUUGAGCCAGCUAGGGGCUACCGGAACAAAUGGUGGAGCGGUGAAAUGCGUAGAUAUCAUUUGGAACGCCAAUGGUGAAAACAGGUAGCUGGGGCUGUGCUGACGCUGAGACACGAAAGCCAGGGGAGCAAACGGG
rnacentral:rRNA from 1 species